rnacentral:rRNA from 1 species
GACGAACCGUGCGAACGUUGUUCGGAUUCACUGGGCUUAAAGGGCGCGUAGGCGGGUUCUCAAGUCGGUGGUGAAAUCUUUCGGCCCAACCGGAAAAUCGCCUCCGAUACUGGGAGCCUCGAGGGGGGUAGGGGCAUGCGGAACUUCGGGUGGAGCGGUGAAAUGCGUAGAUAUCCGAAGGAACGCCGGUGGCGAAAGCGGCGUGCUGGACCCCUUCUGACGCUGAGGCGCGAAAGCCAGGGGAGCAAACGGG